GAUGAACGCUGGCAGCGUGCCUAAUACAUGCAAGUCGAGCGAAUGGAUUAAGAGCUUGCUCUUAUGAGGUUAGCGGCGGACGGGUGAGUAACACGUGGGUAACCUGCCCAUAAGACUGGGAUAACUCCGGGAAACCGGGGCUAAUACCGGAUAACAUUUUGAACCGCAUGGUUCGAAAUUGAAAGGCGGCUUCGGCUGUCACUUAUGGAUGGACCCGCGUCGCAUUAGCUAGUUGGUGAGGUAACGGCUCACCAAGGCAACGAUGCGUAGCCGACCUGAGAGGGGGAUCGGCCACACUGGGACUGAGACACGGCCCAGACUCCUACGGGAGGCAGCAGUAGGGAAUCUUCCGCAAUGGACGAAAGUCUGACGGAGCAACGCCGCGUGAGUGAUGAAGGCUUUCGGGUCGUAAAACUCUGUUGUUAGGGAAGAACAAGUGCUAGUUGAAUAAGCUGGCACCUUGACGGUACCUAACCAGAAAGCCACGGCUAACUACGUGCCAGCCGCCGCAGUAA
rnacentral:rRNA from 1 species